rnacentral:lncRNA from 1 species
CUCACAGCAACGCUGGAUCCUCAACCCACUGAGCGAGGUCAGGGAUCGAACCCGCAACCUUGUGGCUCCUAGUCGGAUUCGUUAACCACUGAGCCACGACGGGAACUCCAAAAUUUGUAGUUUUUAAUCAAACCCUCAAUGUGUUCUGCUAUUUAAAAUAGAAAAAAAUCCUUGGUGGUCAGGGAGAGGAUGUGAGAGAGAAAGGGACGGAGGGAGGUCAGCGGGGGGAGAGAGAGAGAGCACGGAAAGUGAUUUCAUAACAGUUAUACAAGAAGUUGCUAGGAAACUAUUCACUCAAUUUGUGGAUGAUAAACAUUUUCUUCUUAAGCCCAAAUAAAUAGACCUCAUAUCAUUCCAGCCAUGAGAACACAGCUGUUUUUGUGUUGAGAAGGAGCGGGGUUGGGUGGUGUGUGUGUGUGUGUGUGUGUGUGUGUAGGGAGGGAUGGAGGGAUGGGGGAAGGGAGGACGGGUGAAGCCGAGAAGAGGCAUGUGACCUUCUUCCUGUCCUCGAGAAGGAGCUCAAAUGUCCCUGCAGCCUGCUUCUGCGGAUGCCCCAAGAGGAUGGUCCUGGACGGCAGUGAUGGGGGCCACAAGGAAGCAAUUGAGGUUGGCGUGGCCAGGCCCCCACAUGGGUCCAGGUGGGUUGUAGGCCAUGGAAAUCCAGCAUUGCCUCUAACUGACCGGUGGAGUAAGCGUUCACACAGGGAUUCGGUUCCAAAGUCAGUGCAUGGAGCAGCGUUCACACAGCCAGAGAAGUACUCUCAAAAAUCUCCCAAGUCUCCCUUGAGGUAAAGCGUAUACUACUUUAUUUAGUCGCAGAUGUGAAGAAAUGGAUAAGAUAUUUCGGGGCUGUUACAUGUUUAAGAAAUGAUUUUCAAGAAUCAUACUGUGGCAGAGUCUGGCUGGAUGUUCACAAAUUCCAUUUAUCUUCUUUAGGGACUCACAGAAAGACUCCACUUCCUAACUUUGUGCAGUUAAGUUUGGGCCAGUGAAAUAUACACAGGAGCGAGCUAAGUCCUUGAUAGGGUUGGACCUUAAUUACAUCCCUCAUCCUCUAGUCCAGAAAUCAGUCCUCUAUGGACUGACUCACUGCCUCUUUUUGUAAAAUAAGGCUUUAUUGGAACAUAGAUUCCUUUACUUACAUGUCGCCUCUGGCUGCUUCUGUGCUACAACAGCAGAGGUGAGAAGUUGUGACAGAGACCAUGUGGCCUGUAAAACCUAUUUACUGAAGGUUUGCUGAUCCCUGCUCUAAUCCCCUUGUGGUGGAGGCUGUGAUGAGUGAGCCCCCCAGAUCCCCCUUUAGCAAUGAAAAACUUAAU